ACAAUGGACGAAAGUCUGAUGGAGCAACGCCGCGUGAGUGAAGAAGGGUUUCGGCUCGUAAAACUCUGUUGUUAAAGAAGAACAUAUCUGAGAGUAACUGUUCAGGUAUUGACGGUAUUUAACCAGAAAGCCACGGCUAACUACGUGCCAGCAGCCGCGGUAAUACGUAGGUGGCAAGCGUUGUCCGGAUUUAUUGGGCGUAAAGCGAGCGCAGGCGGUUUUUAAGUCUGAUGUGAAAGCCUUCGGCUCAACCGAAGAAGUGCAUCGGAAACUGGGAAACUUGAGUGCAGAAGAGGACAGUGGAACUCCAUGUGUAGCGGUGAAAUGCGUAGAUAUAUGGAAGAACACCAGUGGCGAAGGCGACUCACUGGGCCAUUAUUGACGCUGAGGUGCGAAAGCGUGGGUAGCAAACAGGAUUAGAUACCCUGGUAG
rnacentral:rRNA from 1 species